rnacentral:rRNA from 1 species
GAUGAACGCUGGCGGCGUGCCUAAUACAUGCAAGUCGAGCGGACGGACGAGAAUCUUGCUUCUCUUAUGUUAGCGGCGGAUGUGUGAGUACCACGUUUAUAACCUACCUCUGAGACUGGGCUACCUUCAGGAAACCGGAGCUCAUACCUGAUGUUAUUUUGAACCGCAUGGUUCUACAGUCCACGCCGUUCUUGCUGUCCCUCAUUCAUUGUUCCGCGCUGCAUUAGCUAGUUGGUAAGGUAACGGCUUACCAAGGCAACGAUGCAUAGCCGAUCUGAGAGGAUGAGCGGACACACUGGAACUGAGACACGGUCAAGACUCCUACGGGAGGCAGCAGUAGGGAAUCUUACGAAAUGGGCGAAAGCCUGACGGAGCAACGCCGCGUGAGUGAAGAAGGUCUUCGGAUUGUAAAGCACCGUAAGUAGGGAAGAAGAUAAGUGUAAGUAAAGGUGGAGAUGUUGACGGGACCGAAUCAAUAAGACACGGCUAACUGCGUG